CCGAGAAUAUUUGAAGACAACAACAGUCUUCUGGGUGAGUACAGUCGGCAGCAGGAGCUCGAGCAACAACAGAGAGUCUAUUGAUCAUACAAGGAAGACUCUUUUUUUGGCUACCAGUUUCUAAAUGGUGCCAAUCCCUUUUUGAUCCGGCGCUGUACAGAACUGCUGGAGAACUUUCCUGUCACUGAUGACAUAGUCAGCAUAGUUUAGCAGAUGAAAUGAAGAAUGGCAACAUCUUCCUGUGUGACUACAAGAUUUUGGAUGGAGUGCAGACAAACACCAUCACUGGAAAGAAGCAGUACUUGAUGGCCCCCUCGUUCUACUCGUUCUACUCCCAAAUAUCCAAGAUCAUAAUAAAACCAGUACACAGCGUGCAGCCCCAUGCACGGGGCGAUCCGUGAUAACUCGCUAACAGAGAUUUGCCGCGUUAAUGCGUUUAUGGCAUUAACGCCAUUUUAACAAGAUUAACGCUGACAGCACUAAUCUAUACAUAUCAGACCAGACCAUAUAGACUCAACAGACCUGCAUGUUAAGUCUUAGAGUUCAGGACAACAGAAUCAGAAAAAGACUAAAUAAGUAUGGCCUGUUUGGAAGCGUUGCCAAGAGAAAUCCUCUACUGUCUGAAAAGAAAACGUCAGCAUGGCUUAGUUUUGCCACGACUUCAAGUAAUUCAUUUUGGACAGAUGAGAUCUCCUCUGUUAUGUUUGACCGCAACACACAGCACAUCAGCACAAACACCUUAUACCAACUGUCAUCGUGGUGGUGGAGGAGGCGGGUGAUGAUUUGUGCCACUUGUAGUCACUGAGUCCAUCAUGAACUCCUCUGUAUACCAAAGUAUUUUAGAGUCAGAUGUGAGGCCAUCUGUGCCACAGAGAAGGCUCGGCUGAAAUUGGGCCAUGUAACCAAUUUCAGCCGAAUUAUUACUAACACAGCAGCAAAUGUUGGGUUUAUCUAGGCACAAACCCUGCUGGAACACAAGACACUCAAUGACUGCACGACAAAACAAGACAAGACAGAGCUCUUUGUCUUUGUGGCUCGCGAGGGAAGUCAACCCAGGCAUUCACCUGUCCUUAGCCAACUUCGACUGAUUCCUUCGCUACAGCCCUUUUUAUUGUCACAUACAUGAAUAUGCAAUUACAAAUACAUGUGACAUUCUUAAGCAGGCAUAUCUGAACAACAUCAGUGUCUGUAUUCUGUGUGUGUGUGUGUGUGUGUGUGUGUGUGUGUGUGUGUGUGUGUGUGUGUGUGUGUGUGUGUCAACCAUACCAUACAUAGACAUACGACCUUUCAAUGAACUUAAACUGUGUGUAUGAGGUAUGCAGAAAAGCAGAAGUAAGCGUCUCGCUAAAUUAUAAGAACAGGAACUUGCAAUGGGUCAUGUCUCAAACGAACAUUUAAAGGUGUGAAGUCUUGCACUUUUAAGAAACAGAGCAGUGUAGUUCCUAAAGCUAUAAUGGAAAUUAUAACGUUGAGGCUGCUUCCUCUCGUCUCAUGGUACACAAGUGCACACAGAAUCUUAUCAGACCUAAUAAAGAUAUGAUUUUUAUCAGCAUACAAAUGAUUAUAUAUUUCUAAGCAUAAAUGAUUAUAUGUUCCUAAGCACAAAUUACAAUAUAAAAAAUAUCAAUUCCAACAGCAAACCUACAACGGAAUGGCUGAAAAUGAAAAUAAUAAGUCUUGCAAUGACCAUGUCAAAUAUCAGACCUCAACCUGAUCAGAAUGCUGUGAUGGGACCUUAAGAUAGCUGUACAUAAACAAAUCCCUACAAACCUUAAUGAAGUGAAGCAAUGCUGCAAAGAAGAGUGGGACUAAAUUCCUCCAGAAUGAUUUUAGAGGCUCAUUAAGUCAGUACUUGGUUUUUCGCAUGACUGCAGGUGCCUUGUCCCAAACUAAGGGAUUAACUCAGGUGUUUGUCAGCAGUUUCAUCAAUACUAUAAACAUUCUAUUAUCCCCAUUCACAUCAUCAUCCCCACAGCAAACAUAUAAACCCCUCCAGUGGUCAUUCUUGUCAUCCAUAGGUAAUGUGUAAAACAGAAUGACACUAUUAUUAAUAUGAAGCAUUUUGUUAGCAAUGUAGAUUGCUGGAUGUUUCUUUGUUCACAUUAAUUUUAAAGGAAAGUUAAUCAGCUAAUUAAUGAUUACUGUAUUAAUUAAAGAAAAAAAAACAACUUGGCAGUAUUUUCUGCAAGGAAAUCCUUUUAAAGAGAAAAAUGUUCAGAUUUGUGAGGCUAAACUUAAAAAGUUUUGAGUAAAUGAUGAGUAUUUAUUCAGGUUUGGAUGUACGCAUUUGUGAAAUUGUUUUACGUGUGGUCAGGCUGUGUUGUAUUUGUGUGUGGAUUGGAGCACGUGUUUGUGAGUCCUCAAAAGUUACAAAUGCUUGUAGAUCACAUCGUACGCAUUUCUAACACUUUUGAGGCAAAUUUCUCUCCAUAUUAAAGUCUAUACUCUUACCUCCACACUUCUGUGUCCUUCUGGUAUGAUCUACAUGUUUAAUUGGGCA